GUCUCUUUGUAAUGUGUAACAUCAUUUUUACUUAGGUUUGCCAAAUGACCGGCUUUUACAGAGUAGAAUAUAGUCCCAAACAUAUACAGUUCAGUUCUUUUACUGCUUUCUUCUUCAUAAAAGCCGGACGUCUUGCAACCCUUGAAUUUCCCCUUCUUUUUGUUUGCAUAAAUUACAUAAUUCUCUUAAUUAUAAAUACUCCAAAUCCGAUUUUCGAACAGCGUAUUUUAAAAUCUAAAGAAAUAUAAGCGAUUAAAGAUUACAUUUUGCAAGCCAACUGGAUGCUUAAACAACUCAAAAGACAGCCACGCGCUCAUUAUAGCUCUCUUAUAGUUUUAGAAUCUGAGUGAGUUACUGUUUUGAAUAUCUAAAAUCUUCAAAUUAAGUUUUUAUGAUUUUAAGUUAAAUUAGACUUAAGAAUAUGUGUAAGAAUUGAGAAUAAAUAUUUACUUUUUAUUUUAGAAAUGAACACACAAGAAAAUUUAAACGACGAUGAUGGUGACUUUUUUAGAAAUGCGCAGGAGAUAGUGGCAGAAGAGACAGAGUCUUUUCUGCCUUAUUUGAAAGAAUUCUUAGAUAAUCAAAGUUAGCAUUUUCUAUUUUUUCUUUUUUACUUCAGUUUUUUCGAAGUUUAUGUUACAGUAAAUAAAUUUAUGAACUAAUCUUUCAUACAUUUUGUUUAUUUAGAAAAUUUAGAAAGUAGAGUUAGUAAGCAAAAUUUCAUUAUAUUACUUUUAUGUAUAUUAAAUAAAAAAUAAUGAGGUUGGCUUUAGUAAUUUGUUCAUCUAUUUAGAAAAAUUAGAAGAUUUACAAAAGUCCAUAGGUGAGUAAAAUUGCUUUUAUGUUUAUUAUACACCCUAAUUAUUUAUGUACAUCUAAUAUUAAAUGCGUUUUUUCAAUUUGAGAUUAGUUUUGGACUUUGUACUUUUUGGUCAAUUUUUUUAGAUAUCAUUUUAAACUACAUUUGUAAGUAACUAUAUUAUGUUUUAUGUCUCAUAAAAGUUUUAAUAAAUAAUAUAAUGUAAUCACUUAUAUAGUGACAAAUCCAACUUCCUCAGUAACGUAUGUUGUUGUACUCACUUAUACUUGACUUAAUUUAUGGAUUAAUUGGUUUUAUUGCAUUUUUAAUUUUCUUUUAUUUAUCUCUAGCUGCUGCUUCUUCUGUUACAAGCUCGAAGUCAUGGGAAGAAUUCAGAAAGUAUCGCUCCCAGCAUCCAGGCCCUCUAUCUAUGAGGGCCUUCCAUCGCUGGUGUUUGUAUGGGGACGACCAUCCCUCCUUUAGAUGGAGGGAUAUCACCCAAUACAACACGGGGAAUAGAGCGGAUGCUGGGAGGAGAAGACAACGUGGCGCAAAAGUUGUCAAUAAUUUUUUUACAUAUUAAAAUGUAAAGAAAUUGACAACUUUUGAGCCACUUCAUUUUUUUUUUUGUAAUAUAUUUUUGUAAAUUUA